UGUAAUUUGCAUUUUUCCUGUAGUGCACUAUACUGAUUUGUGAAUGAUGACGUAUAAAUGACUAAUAGAAAAUAUGAUUUUUUAUUAAGUUAGGGUUUUAUAAUUUGGGGGAAAUAUGAUUUAGGGCAUAGAUAGAACCAAUUAGCGUCUUCUUCUCACACAAGAAGCGGAUUGGGGGAGCACGAUCACCCACCUUCAUCUUCUCUUCACUCAGUUUCUACUUCAUUUCGCAAGAAGGAGACAAUGAUAUCUUUUUCUUUUGUUCUCGUUCAGAUUCGUGCCGCAAGGGGAGAAUGCUUCAUUUCUCUUCUUUUUCUUGGUUCUGGGUGGGGGUUUUUGCACAUUGGGGAUGUGAGUUUAGGUGCUAGGAUACAAACUCCUUUCUCACGGUGCAAUAAGUCUUGCAGCAACGGUGCCUCUACGAUGACUCGGCUCCUGACGUAUUUGCGGUGCCAGAGUCCCUGUUUAAUAUCGUCGUUAUGAAGAACAGACCGACGUUUCGCAGUGUGGUGGUCUCCGUUCUCC
rnacentral:lncRNA from 1 species